GGCCACAGCCAUAGCACCCUGCAGCCCAAGACUGGUUGCCCACUGAAGCUAAGCAGGGUUGAGCCUGGUCAGUACCUGAAUGGGAGACCUCCUGGGAAAACUAGGUUGCUGUUGGAA
ensembl:rRNA 5S_rRNA 5S ribosomal RNA